GUAGGGAAUAUUGGACAAUGGGGGAAACCCUGAUCCAGCGAUGCCGCGUGGAUGAUGAAGGCCUUCGGGUCGUAAAGUCCUUUUCUGAGGGAAGAACUGUCUGGCGAGGAAAUGCGCUGGAUUUGACGGUACCUCAGGAAUAAGCAACGGCUAACUCCGUGCCAGCAGCCGCGGUAAUACGGAGGUUGCAAGCGUUGUUCGGAAUAACUGGGCGUAAAGGGAGCGCAGGCGGCUUGGUAAGUCUAAAGUGAAAUUCCAGGGCUCAACCCUGGACGUGCUUUGGAUACUGCCUGGCUUGAGUACGUGAGAGGAGAUUGGAAUUCCAGGUGUAGCGGUGAAAUGCGUAGAUAUCUGGAGGAACACCGGUGGCGAAAGCGGAUCUCUGGCACGUUACUGACGCUGAGGCUCGAAAGCAUGGGGAGCAAACGGGAUUAGAAACCCGUGUAGUCC
rnacentral:rRNA from 1 species